UACGAAGGGGGCUAGCGUUGCUCGGAAUGACUGGGCGUAAAGGGCGCGUAGGCGGAUGGCACAGUCAGAUGUGAAAUUCCCGGGCUUAACCUGGGGGCUGCAUUUGAUACGUGUGAUCUAGAGUGAGGAAGAGGGUCGUGGAAUUCCCAGUGUAGAGGUGAAAUUCGUAGAUAUCAGGAGGAACACCUGUGGCGAAAAGCGGCGCACUGGACCACAACUGACGCUGAGGCGCGAAAGCUAGGGGAGCAAACAGGA
rnacentral:rRNA from 1 species